CGCGAGGUCUAAGGCUCGCCUUGUGGCUUUGGCCCAGUGCUUCGACCGCUAGUGCGACGCGCGAAGCUCUGCAGGAGUGGUCACGUGGCGGGCUGCGGGCGACGAGGCCCUCCCUGCGCUUUCAGCCUGCCUGGUGACUGGGCGGGAAUGGACCGCGCCCUAUACCUCACCUUUACCUGGUGAUCUGGAGGCAAAACAUACCAGCGGAAGUCCCUGGGGAAUCCUGACAUUGAAAGAGCCCUGCUGUCAGAAGCCCUGAGUGGCUUUGGAUGAUGACCAUUUUAAAGAUGAUGAAACUGAGGCUCAGGAGAUUAUAUAAUUUAUUCGAGGGUGUAGCCGGUAAGUGGCAGGGCAGGAUUUGGAUUAAAUCUGUGAUACGUCAAAAAGCCUUGCUUUUCCUCAUUGAAACACUGUUCUCUCCUUUGCAUUCCCUGCUCCACAAAUCUCGAGCCACAUUAAACCGCUCGGCUGCAGCGGCACUGCCCCGUCUCUUCCAGGACGUGGUUGCUGUGAGCCCUGGAAGGCGGAGCUCUGCCCCUGCAACCUCCCCAAGACUGAGCUCCACAAGGUAACGCCCCAGGAGACGAAAUGACUUCUCCAAGGUCACAGAAUUGACCAGUGGCAAAACUGGAACUAUAACCUUCAGGCGUUCUUCUUUGGUUUAACAGACAUUUUUUGCGUACCUAUUAGAUGUCAGGCACUGUUGUAGGCCCUGAAAACAUCAGUAAGGAUAAAAGGCCUGCCCUCCUGGAGCUUACAUUCUAGUGGAGGAGAUAGACAAUAAAAACACUGAAUACAAAUAAGGCUAUGAAGAAUAAUUAGGGGCUGGCCCCAGGGCCGAGUAGUUAAGUUUGUUCACUCUGCUUCAGCGGCCCAGGUUUUCACAGGUUCGAAUCC